CUUCGUGCUUCCUCCACUUCUGUACCAUUGAUUCAUUAAUGUUAAAUUCUCUGCAGCUGCUCUGUUCCCGUGUUCUACUGCGCGACUGACAGCCUUGAGUUUGAAAUCCGCUUCGUAAGCAUGUCUCUUAACAGGAGCCAUUUUGGGGUCCUUAUACACACACUGUAAUAUUAUGUUGAAGCAGAGUACGGAUUACUCCGCGUAACUCACCAAAGUCGUACUAAAACAUUUUGACAGAUUUUUGAGCGCCAUGUAGCACAUAACAUCAGUUCGAGGUCAGUAAGCACAACCAGAAUUCAUACAUAAGGCGCACUGUUGAUUUUUGAGAAAAUGAAAGGAUUUUAAGUGCCCUUAUAGUGCAGAAAAUGUGCUAUAUAAUGUGUUUAACAAAAGCAGGUUUGAUGCAGAUUGUCACAGAUUCUUCUCAUGUUGUGGCUGUGCCCUACAGACCAGCUGCCAGCAUUGCUGCAGAGCCUGACUCCUCACUCUAGGUGUGAACCCUGCCAGGGUGUGAAGGGUCCUCCAGGUGAGCCAGGAGCACCGGGACCCAAAGGCUCCAUGGGAACUCCAGGCUACCCUGGCAGAAAUGGGGCUCCUGGUUACCCAGGACCUCCUGGAAUACAGGGCCCCGCAGGCCUCAAAGGUGACACGGGACCCAGAGGGUUGAAAGGCAGAAAAGGAGAUGGAGACCAGGGACCACCAGGACCACCUGGACAGCAAGGUAUGUUUAAUUGUGCACAUAUUAACAAUCCAAUAACCUGUACACUGACACUAUCCUCACUGUUAUUCACCCAUGCCAGGAAUUUUACCUGAGAGUUCUGGAAAAUGUGUGAAAGCUCUUAGUAGUGUGGAUUUUUAAUAAAUGCCAUAAAUAUAUCACACAUGUGAACUUGAAUGAAAUCCAAUUCUUAAUCGAUAGAGUUUAAUAUAGUGUCAGCCCACCCUUUGCAUCUAUAACAGCUUCAACUCUUCUGGGAAGACUUUCCACAAAGUUUAGCAGUGCACAUUUAUGUACAUAAAAGUACGUUUAUGAGGUCAAACACUGAUGUUGGACUAGAAGGCCUGACUCGCAGUCUCUGCUCUAUCAUGUUGAUAGAGCAGAGAUGUCUCCAUGUCUUUAUGUAUCUUGCUUUGUUCACUGCUGCUCAGUUAUGUUGGAACAGGAAGGGGCCAUCCCCAAAC
rnacentral:lncRNA from 1 species